rnacentral:rRNA from 1 species
UACGAAGGGGGCUAGCGUUGCUCGGAAUGACUGGGCGUAAAGGGCGCGUAGGCGGCUUGCACCGUCAGAUGUGAAAUUCCUGGGCUUAACCUGGGGGCUGCAUUUGAUACGUGUGGGCUUGAGUGCGGAAGAGGGUCGCGGAAUUCCCGGUGUAGAGGUGAAAUUCGUAGAUAUCGGGAGGAACACCGGUGGCGAAGGCGGCGACCUGGGUAGAUACUGACGCUGAGGUGCGAAAGCGUGGGGAGCAAACAGG